CUUACUGCUUGAGAAUUGCAUUUUAAUAUUUAACCGAAUUUUCCAGAACCUAUUUACAGGAGAAAAGUAUCAAAAUAACAUGGUUUAUCUUGGAAGAUUCUUAAUGCUUACAUUAGAUGUCUUUUAACCUUAGUUAUGUUGAAAUGCUUUCUUAAAGUUUAUUCUGGAAAAUGUAGAAACCUGUCUUGACUUUCUUUGAGAAACCUACACAUUUUUAUCACAUAACUGGCUA